AAAAGUUGUUUUACUGCUCCAAUUCUAGUUUAGAAAAAUCAAUGUAUUUUCUCCAUCUAAUCGCUCGAACGAGCUACCUGCCUUCACAAGCAUACCUAAGUUACUGACUCAUGGGAGACCCGAACUAGGAAAGGCGUGUCCACGACUUUCCAUAUGGGACAAACACUGAAACCGAGUUCCCGAUCUGUUCGCCUUGUUUCGGUGAGAGGUUCUAGACUGCGAAGACAGCACGUGGGCCGACCGGACUGCUGCUGUCACUUCUCGUCGCCAGUUAGGUUCCAGGCCAGAGAGCGGACCCUCGGUGAAGGGCUGGGGCCAGGGCGGCCACCACCCUUCGCAGAGUCCGGCCGGACAAGCUGCCGCCUGCUGCCCACAUGGCCGUCCAGCCGAGGGAACCAGGGAACCUCUGGGCCGACGCUCACGCGGGACCCACGGCCCGAAGGCCCGGGCGGCGAUCCGGGGGCCCGAUCUUCCCGCCCGCAGCCGGCGCCCACCCGCGUAGCCUGGCGCCCCGGCCCGCACCUACCUUCACGUCCUCGUCCUCGUCCUCGCCUUCCCAGCGGUCCCCGCCGGCCGUGCCGCCGCCCGCGACCUUCCGCACCGGGUCCUCCAUAGAGAACGUGUCCGCGUCUACGGAAGAGAGCGAGUCGCGUUAGUACACGCGUGGGAGCGAGGCCUCCACAGCCCGCACUCAGGCCGGAACUUCUGCUCACCCCAGGAGUCUGAGUCCCCCGCCGCCGCUGCCGCCGCCGCCGCCGCCAUCUCGAACCGGGGGUGAGCGUGUGUGAAGGGAAGAGCUGCGAAGAGUUAGCGCGGCAGAGGAAUCCUUUCUGUGGAUUGCACAUACAGCUCAGUUGGUAGAGUGCUUGCCGAGCAUGCAGAAGGCCCCAAGAUUUUGAUCCACCAAAUCAUCUCCAUCUUCCAACCAGUAGCAUCCAUCCAAUCAUUAUGCAGACCAUGUGUCCAGUUCUAAGCUGACCUGUCUCAAUGACCUUCCUCAAAGGAAAAGCUGCACUGAAGACAGAAGAAUACACUGCUAGUGUUUCCUUAGCCUGAGAACAGAAGAGUAAGAAAAGUUGCCUGGUAAAGUUCCUCUACAGAACAGAUUCACCACUUUAUCAGAACAAUGUCACAGAAAGGUUGUAAGACACAGAUAACACAGUGGUUGAUGGGGGAAAAAUAUUAGGAAAAAAAAAAGUCAGGUCUUGAAUAAGACCAUAGGGAGCUGUACCAUGUGAUACAAAGGCACAAUCAUAAAAUCAUAAGCAAAAAUAGAAGAGAUGAGGUAUAAGCUCCAAAUGGUCUGUGUCAUUAGAUGUGAACACGAAUAUAUGAGAGUCAGCAAGGCCUAAGUUUUGUUCUAAAGGAAAUAAAAGUAUGUAUAAUAUA